AAGUCAGCAGGAAUAGUAACAGCUCUUCACAAACGAGCCAUGGAGGAACCUUUUGGGAAGGCGCCUCACAGUGCUUUGUCAUCUGCUGACAAACUGGUGCCAGGACCAGAACUUCAUAAUAAAGUCUUCAGAGAAAAUUUUGCAGCAGAUCAAGGAAUCUCGAAGCGCUCCGACAAAGGGGAGGAAACCCCUCGCUGCGGGAUGGCAGCCGCGGGUCAGAGGCGUGCAAGCAGCCGUUACCGCCAUCCAGAGGAGAGCAGCCAUCGGCCGCCAGAUUCCAUUUUGUUGUGUGCGUGGAAAGGAGAACCCAACCGCUUGGUCUGGCUGGUGCUGAGGGGUCCCGGAGCAGAAAAACAACGUAAACUCAGGCUUAAAGUGCAAGGAUCCCUCGUGUCACUGGUUUCAACUAGAGGAUACUGGUGUAUCUCAUACCUGUGUGCUAUGAGAAUAUUCAAUAUGAGAAACUUGAUGUGAAACAGAGGCAGCCAAUUGGAGCAGUGCUUCAGACUAAGCUGAGUGUCUUUGUGAGGCUACUUGAAAUGCAGCCAAGGAAUGGGUAUGAUGGAGAUACCAUGGUAGGCAGAAAACUAACUUAGGCUUUUCUGGAAUGAGUUUUCUUCCUAGUAUAUGGAAAACAUCAUCAAAGUUCCACUGUGUGAUUUCAGAAUUUGUAAUUACUUUGAACAAGGGAGAAAUCAGGAGAACAUGAUGGAUUCUAUUGUAGGAGACAUUUAAUGCCUUAUUUGGAACACUAUCCAGAUAUUUCAUCUGUAGUCUUCAUCAAGAGUAAAGUUUACAUGAGCUCAGCUAUCUGAAAAGAAUUAAAUUCUGGAACAUUUUCUUGGCUGCUAGACAUCUGAGAAAUGUAGAAGUGGCUGAUGCCAAACUACCUGCCAUGUGUGUACUUCCUUUAGACUUAUUUUUCUAAAUGAAAUGUAGAUACCACAAAGGAUAUUUGGAAUUGAGAAGGUGAGAUCAACUAGAUUUGGCUGUCUUAAAUGUGGUCUAUCUCUUAGCAAGUGUUCUUACAGUUGCUAUUAUAACUUUGCAGGAAAGUUUUUCUCAUUAGCAAUUGUCGUUUUACAUUUCCAGCACAGAAGAAUUAAAGAUAUUGGUGCAUGUUUCCAACCACCAUUUUAGAGUUUUAGCUAAAAAUCUCUCCUUGGAUAAUGGGGUUUAUACCACAGGCACCCAGUAUGCUUUAGUAUGACCACUUAUGGAUUACUGAAUUUAGUUUUUCAAUUUUAUUCAAACCUUAAACAAAAGGUAAAUGAAUAAUAAUAAAUGCUUUUGCAUAUAAUUAUGAAAAUAUUAU
rnacentral:lncRNA from 1 species